GCCUAAUAAAUACGGAGGGCUGUGUAAAGGUCAGGGCCCUUGUCCACUAGAGGCAAGGUGCCCCCUGACCCCUUCUUCCAAAUAUACGCUUUUGUCUUUUAUUCCUGCAUUCGCCCGCUUUGUUCAGUCCCCCUAGGUCCAUGUGGGUUACAUAGUGGCGCCGCAGAACAGGGACUUCAAGGACGUAAACGAAGAAGGUCUGCUGGAGCAGAGGAACUGAAAUUGAGAAGGUGAACGGGGACCCCAGGCCGAGUCUGCCGACAGGGAUAUAAGGAGAUGGACAAGCCGUGUGGGUGCCCUCAAGGUGUGUGCAACCAUGGAAUGGGAGACUGGAGGAACCCAGGGUGGCCAACCAUGGGUCCGGUCCCUCUGGUGUGAGCCAUGAGCCAGCUGAGCCUGAGUGCGAAGACGGAGAGAAGGCCGACCACAGUCAUGACAUCAACCCCCAUAACCUGGGGACAACUCAAGAAAACCACACAGGAGGCUGAGAAACUACUGGAGCACCAGGGACAGUCUGUAAAGUUGGAUGGACCAUCAAUGGGAAAAUGAGAGCUGCCCACCCUGGCCUUACACUCCUUCAAUUAAUACAUAAACAGAAAGGAGGAUAUACAGAGAGCCAAAGGCCCAUGGGACGUGACCAACAUUCCACUGAGUCUAUACGAUCAAACAGCAAACUGUUUAUCAUGAAUACAGAAUGUGGGCAAACUCAUGACUGUGCCUGCCCCAGAAGGUUUGCUGAGGGCAAUUGCUUCCUGACGCCAAGCUCCUUGAGGUUAUCUAUUGGGACAUCCAGAGAAUGCAGUCUUGCAAGCCUACUCUGGACCGAGCAGCUGACCCCCUCUUCCACUUCCCUUCACACUAUCUCUUUUGCCUAAUAAAUACGGAAGGCUGUGUACAAGGUCAGGUCCCUUGUCCACUAGAGGCAAGGUGCUU
rnacentral:lncRNA from 10 species